GAUGAACGCUGGCGGCGUGCCUAAUACAUGCAAGUCGAGCGAACGGACGAGAAGCUUGCUUUUCUGAUGUUAGCGGCGGACGGGUGAGUAACACGUGGAUAACCUACCUAUAAGACUGGGAUAACUUCGGGAAACCGGAUCUAAUACCGGAUAAUAUUUUGAACCGCAUGGUUCAAAAGUGAAAGACGGUCUUGCUGUCACUUAUAGAUGGAUCCGCGCUGCAUUAGCUAGUUGGUAAGGUAACGGCUUACCAAGGCAACGAUGCAUAGCCGACCUGAGAGGGUGACCGGCCACACUGGAACUGAGACACGGUCCAGACUCCUACGGGAGGCAGCAGUAGGGAAUCUUCCGCAAUGGGCGAAAGCCUGACGGAGCAACGCCGCGUGAGUGAUGAAGGUCUUCGGAUCGUAAACCUCUGUUAUUAGGGAAGAACAUAUGUGUAAGUAACUGUGCACAUCAUGACGGUACCGAAACAGAAAGCAACGGCUAACUACGUG
rnacentral:rRNA from 1 species